GCCAGGUGCGGUGGUGCACGCCUGUAAGCCCAGCGGCUCAGGAGGCUGAGGCAGGAGGAUCGAAAGUUCAAAGCCAGCCUCAGCCACUUAGCGAGGCCCUACGCAACUCAGUGAGACCCCGCCUCUA
rnacentral:sRNA from 1 species